rnacentral:rRNA from 1 species
GAUGAACGCUGACAGAAUGCUUAACACAUGCCAGUCUUUGGCGAAGCUGUGCUUGCACCGCCUAGCCAAGGCGGACGGGUGAGUAACGCGUAAGGAACUUGCCCUGCAGUCAGGGAUAACAGACGGAAACGACUGAUAAGACCUGGUAAAGUCAGGCGGACUCAUGUCCAGCCUGAUGAAAAGAGAUGCUGCAGGAGAGCCUUGCGUCCUAUUAGCUUGUUGGUGGGGUAACGGCCACCAAGGCGAUGAUAGGUAGCCGGCCUGAGAGGGUGGACGGCCACAAGGGGACUGAGAUACGGCCCUUACUCCUACGGGAGGCAGCAGUGGGGAAUAUUGGACAAUGGGGGCAACCCUGAGCCAGCAAUUCUGUGUGCACGAUGAAGGUUUUCGGAUUGUAAAGUGCUUUCAGCAGGGAAGAAAAAAUGACGGUACCUGCAGAAGAAGCGACGGCUAAAUACGUG